UACAAGGCCCUUUUCAGGGCCACUGUCUCUAUCCCUACAAACUGAAU
rfam:Operophtera brumata OBRT01_Sc04693, whole genome shotgun sequence.